CCAGUAAGUUGGGGAUGAUGGAGCAGCAAUUUCUGGCUUUUACAGAGAUCAACAAGGCUUCCUUCCACCUACAGAGACCAUCUAACUGACAUGCUGCACAUUGGUGACCAAAUAAGAGACUGAUGGAUGUAGCAGUGCAUAUUAACAGGCAUGCCAAAAGAAAUCAUUUAUGAUAAAUGCCGCUGAAUGACCUGAAUUAAUUAGGCCUCUUGGUAGCAGGUUUCCAGGAUGGUUUUUCUCAGCAGAUAUCUCAGUGUUCAGGGAGGACAGGCUUUCCUGGAUGACAUUUGAGGCUUGCUGGGUGAGUAUGGUAAGGGCUUCUACGUGUGCUAUAAUGUCCUCCAGGCCAGUUAAGGGGGUAAAGACAGUGGCCAAGUGGCCAUACCAGUGGG
ensembl:lncRNA